ensembl:miRNA MIR592 microRNA 592
UUAUGCCAUGACAUUGUGUCAAUAUGCGAUGAUGUGUGUGAUGGCACAGCGUCAUCACGUGGUGACGCAACAUCAUGACGUAA